rnacentral:rRNA from 1 species
UACGUAGGUGGCAAGCGUUGUCCGGAUUUAUUGGGUUUAAAGGGUGCGUAGGCGGCUUGAUACGUCAGUGGUGAAAGCCGAUCGCUUAACGAUCGAACUGCCAUUGAUACUGUCGGGCUUGAGUAUAGAUGAGGUAGGCGGAAUUGACAGUGUAGCGGUGAAAUGCAUAGAUAUUGUCAAGAACACCAAUUGCGAAGGCAGCUUACUAAGUUAUAACUGACGCUGAGGCACGAAAGUGCGGGGAUCAAACAGG